AGCGAACGCUGGCGGCAGGCUUAACACAUGCAAGUCGAGCGGGCACUUCGGUGUCAGCGGCAGACGGGUGAGUAACACGUGGGAACGUACCCUUUGGUUCGGAAUAACGCUGGGAAACUAGCGCUAAUACCGGAUACGCCCUUUUGGGGAAAGGCUUGCUGCCGAAGGAUCGGCCCGCGUCUGAUUAGCUAGUUGGUGGGGUAAUGGCCUACCAAGGCGACGAUCAGUAGCUGGUCUGAGAGGAUGCUCAGCCACACUGGGACUGAGACACGGCCCAGACUCCUACGGGAGGCAGCAGUGGGGAAUAUUGGACAAUGGGCGCAAGCCUGAUCCAGCCAUGCCGCGUGAGUGAUGAAGGCCUUAGGGUUGUAAAGCUCUUUUGUCCGGGACGAUAAUGACGGUACCGGAAGAAUAAGCCCCGGCUAACUUCGUG
rnacentral:rRNA from 1 species